CCUAGUCAUCUAUAGAAGUAAACGGCGAACUCUCCACCUAACAGUCAUGCAGCGAUAACGAUAUCUGCAGGGCGACGAUCAGAGCACACGACUAUUAGACAAUGCGUGUGUACAAUAAUAUCUACAGUACGGUACACAACGGACGCAGUAUUCCACGACUGACGUUGACGUCGGACGACACUCGAAUGUCGACGAUCACUCAAUUUUUUUGGAGGUUAUCGGAUUUGGCCUACCUUUAUGGCCUUCUUGGACACCAUUGGCAUCAAGCAGAGAUUGACAGUGUCAGCCAGGAUCGAUGCCGUCUGCUCCUUGGCCGAUUUCAUCCUGCCGCCGCAACGUACUUUGCAUAAGCAGCCGGCACUGAAUGACGACUAUUGCUGUUUCUGUUUAAAUAAAUCGUAUCAAAGAUAUCAUAAUAAUUUGUGGCCUCUCUAUCCAGUAAAAUGCCAUCCUCGUAUGUGCAAUUGUCAUGGACGAGCCACAUACACUAUAAAGAAAAAAACAGGUAGAUGCGAGUACGCGCUGGUUUCUUUUCUCGGAAUUUGUUGCACUCAUCGUCAGUUAGAUUGCUCGACUCGUUUCAGCGUUUCUUUUAUCCUUAUCGUCCAUUCGCAGGUACAGAGGAGCGCUGCUAGUGACCUCAUAAACGUAUGGUAAAGAUUAGUACGGUCUGCUGAUGUGCUAUACGAAAAUUGGGCUGAACGAACACGGUCAGCACAUAGAAAUGCUGAUUAGUAAGGCAAACGUGACCAAAUCCAGCUCCUUCAAUGUAGGCGGCGAU